UUAUGUAAUUCGACCCGCACUCCUCAUGUAAGUCAACCCGAACCGGUACAUGCCGAGGGAAAAGAAAAAAAACACAUGACGACCUUAUCUCCCGCAUCUCCACCUACAGGCGCCGCCACGCCCUUCCACGCCACGCCACGCGCCGCCCCCUCCGGCCACCGCCCCUCCGCCGCGCACCGCCCCUGCCUGCCACCGCUCCUCCGCCGUGCGCCGCCCCCGCCGUGCACCGCCACCACCCCUGCGGCUUUCCACCACCGGGAACACUCGACGCCGACACCGCACCUUCCCCCAACUCCUCUCUCUCCUCCUCCUUUGCCGCACCGCUCUUCAUCACCCAGCCAACUCCGUCGAAACGGGCAGGCGGCGCUGGAGUUCGCCGGAACGGGCCGGCGGGCGGUAAGAGCCACGGCGGCGGCGCGAAAACUGUCAGAUUCAGGCGCGGCAUCGACGGAUCUGGUGGCUGGUGUGGCAGCUUGCUAGAUGGCGGCGGCUGGAGCCCUACUCAUCCAGAGAAAGAGAGAGACAGGGCGUGAGGGAGAGAGGAAGAAAUGAGAAGGAGAAGGGGCACAGGGUGAGGGAGGUAGGUAGGGCGGCGUGCUCCUGUUGAGGCGGCAGCGUGCGGUUGCCGGCAAGGGUAGCACAUCUCGCUGGAGCACACGUUGUUCCUGGCCAGAGGCCUCGGAUCGACCGGCUGGGCUCGGCGCUGCUGAGCAACGACGGUGGCGGGGGGUCAAGGGGAUCGUUGAGGACGCCAGCAACAGCCUCUUCAAACUACGCGUAAUCACUGUACCAUUGGCUGCAUCGGUUAUUUGUAUGAGAUUCACCCUCUUUGUGUUGAGGAAAGAGCCGGAAGGAGAGUACAUGGACGAGGAGGGGAAGAAUGACUAGGCAGAUUGCCCACAACUCUGCACAGGUGCAGCCAAACAAAGCCUAGCUGGACAUCAUUUGUCAAGGUUUGCACACAACUACACACUGAAAAUUCUAGCUGGGUUGAUUCAGAUCUUGGUGCUACUGCCUAUCAUCCAUAGCAUCUCCUCUUUUUACCACCAGCCACCACUACCACAAUGGUACAGAUCUCACCUGAACUCCAUGUCACUCCCUUGCCUUAAUACCUUCUUAUACUUGUUGUUUGUUUGGUCCAUCUUCAGUUCCUCGCACAAAUCAGGUUGUCUCACCGGCCUACAGAACUUGGAUAUUUGCUACGACAGUCUGUUGGUUGAUGCCCAUCGAGAGUUCAAGACUAAUCCACACUAGACAUUCUUGAUUCCUUAUUAUUUGCAUUAUUUUUAGAUCCAUUACCUUCUUGCAUAUCAUCAUCUAUGCAGCACAUGCCAACAAGCUCUGUCGACGUGGUGCGUAUAUAGUAAUCUAACAAGGCAGUACACAUGUAUGCAAGCAGGUAUGCAUCGAUGGACAUAGGCUCCCAAUUAUCUUCUCGCUCUGUACUACUUAGACCACACGCAAGCACCCAUUAUAAGUGAUUUUCUAUGCAUCUCGAUUUCAUCCCAUAUCAAAGAUUUUUUAUCUUGAUUUUCUUAUGUAUAGCACAUGCAUAUUAGAGAAGUCACAUCCGCUCAAUUAUCAUGUAUCACAAAGUUAGGCAGUAGUAGAAUAAGAUCAUACAGCUGCCUGUUAUUUUAGAUAUUAUCAUGUAUAGUAAGGUGCCAGUUUGCAGGAAAUAACGCACAAUUGUGACACGAAAAGUUUGAACAUAACCAACGCGGUUUUAUCUUGCAUUCAUGAGACUCGCCUUUAAAGUGUUAUCUUUCCACACAGAGAGAUAUAUGAGACCAUGAGGGUAUCCUAUAGACAAAAAGGACAUUCAGGAAUUAAAAAAUUGAAUCGUCUCCACAGAACAAACUGCAAGUUUUGAAAUCAUUGAAGUGUUGACAAUUCCAUAAUCUCUUAACAUAGGCUGCCACCAUCAUGCUUUUCAGGUAGGCUAAUCCUUUUCUCCAUCAAGUUGUUCAUUGCGUUCACGACAGUGAGUAGCUCAGAACCUAAACAAAUUCAUAAUAUUGUCUGUUGAUGUCCCCACCAUGAAGGCCCGGAGGCUCUGUUCAUAAUCACCUCUCGCCAUAUCCGGGGAGGAUUAUGGUCUAGGGCUCUAGGCAGAGCGGCGCAUGAUGCUGUAGUGUGGCUAUUGUCAAUGACAUGGUCGUGAUGUUGUCCACUUUGUCCCGGUGGUUCGAAAGCAACGCAAUGACAUCAUGUUUCUUCUCCUCAGCGAGUUUAUUAUUUUUCAUAGACCUCAUGGAGCAGAGUACUGAGGGCUGAGGAGACAAGUGCUGGAGAGGGUGGCAUGCAUCAGGAUGAGGGAAGAAAGUGCUGGAGGAUGUAAACAUUUGGCGGAACAUGUAUAUAGUGGUUCUUUGUGAGAAAAAAAUGUAUAGAGUGGUUGGUGUAUACGUCCUUUUUGUGAUAAUAAUAAAUGAAGUGCAUUCUGGUGCUAUGGUUGUGACUAAAGAUGUUAGCGGCAGAAGCAAUUGCUACGUAAGUGUGAAUAACCUGGUGUGGUGCCUCUUUUGAUCCUGCUUUGUUUAUUUUGCAAAUCAUUAAUAUAUUUCCAUCGCUUUUCUUCUUCCA